rnacentral:rRNA from 1 species
GUGCAGCAGGCGAGAAUACUCCGCAAUGCCCGAAAGGGUGACGGGGGGAUUCCAAGUGCCUACGCUUAGCGUAGGCUGUUCAGGUGCCUAAAAAGCACCUGGAGGAAGGGCUGGGUAAGACGGGUGCCAUCUGUGGCAGCAGCCAAGAUUUGGCUUGCUACUGCAAGGCAUAAGCCGCCGCGGUAAUACCCGCAGCCCGAGUGGUAGUCGCUUUUAUGGGCCUAAAAGCGUCCGUAGCCGGUCUGGUAAAUGCCUGGGUAAAUCGUGGGGCUUAAACCUCACGAAUUCCGGGUAGACUGCCAGACUUGGGACCGGUUGAGGGAGAGGGUACUCCAGGGGUAGGGUGAAAUCAGCAAGGUAAGCUGAU